GUGGCCUGCAUUGAAAUAUUUUGAAAGGUAAGUUGAAGUACUAAACCAGUCUUUCAGAUUGUACUACAACAAGCCUGAGACAGAUGGUGAUUCAAGAAAUAAGACUUUUAAAGAAGAGAAAUUCUUGUGCAAAGAAAACAGCAGAGCAAAUAAUCUUUGCAUUAAGAAGAUGUGAGUCAAGGUUAUACUGGUUUAGAAAAACUAGUUAUAUGCCUAAGACUCUGCAGUUGUUUCCAACCUAUACCUGGUUUACUGCAGUCAGUAAGAAGACUCACAAAACGGCAGGGACAAAAACUUCCAGAUUGAUGCUUGACCAAAUACUGGUACUGCAGUCUAACCAUGUAGCCCAUAAAAUUAACCCAUCAAAAUUUUUCACUCCUGGUUUGUUUGGCUGCAUUCAACUGAGAUCUACUGAGGGAGAACCACUGUUUCUGCAGCUGAAUACUGCUGGAAGUUUGUGUUGCACACUGUGGUUGCUUUUACUUUUUUGUAUCAGCAGAUACAGAAGCUAGUGAGAAUCUAGCUCAUCUGUUCUUUAGCUACCAACUUUUUCCUUCCUUAGUGUAUACAUUUCUCUCUGAACUCUUAACUUACAGCCUUAUACACUGAUUUUGUUUACAGAUUACCUUUUGAAAAAAAAGGACUUAAAUUACACAGAAGCAGCACUUAGGGUUUAAAAAAUACACUUAAAAAUAUUUGACUAAAAGCCAUCUGAGGUUUAAAAACAGUAGCAACAAAAAGUAUUUUGGAAGAAAAUUUUAGAAGUUCAAAGUAAGUAUUUUGGACAUGAUUUGGAGAUAGGCAUUUACUUUAUACUCUAUUGCUGUCCAAGUUUUUAAUAAUAUAUAUUACAUUUUACUUUCUGGGGUAUUUAUUCAUUAUUAUUCUUGAAAAUUGCAAUUAUUGGUUGAUUAUUAACUCUGAUUAUAACCUUGCCGAGGCCAAGGUCAUGGGCUUAAUUCUCAAUUGGACCACUUAGUGCCACUUGCCUUGGGGCCUAUAGAACCAAUCCCAGGCUGUCUGUAGUCAUUGUGCACAUGGAUGUUAAUUGGAGGCACUCUAAAAGAAUAGAUAGACAUAUGCAAAUCUGUAGUUAUUGAGACUCAAUCAGAAGUUCAUACAGCCUAUUCACAGUGAUUCAGUAAUAUACACAAAAGCACACUGAAAACAAAUGCUUUUAAAGUUGAUUAUCAAUUAUUUGUUCUUUCCCCCUCAAAAAAACAAAAGGAAAGGGAAAUUCUAACAAAAAUGUCCUUUUAUAUUCUUUCUCUUAGAUAUUCUAAUAAUUUCUCUAUCAUUUUAUAUGUUUUUUUCAGAAUAACCUUUUAAUUUUAGUUCCAAAAUCAUGUCUCAAAUUUUGCUUCUGGUUUUCUGCUCCUCCCUAUUUGACAGACAGACACGUUUUCUUGUGUAGUGCCAGUCAUAUCACUGAGACACAUGGUGAAGUUUAGAGUAAACAGAUAAGGUAAUAUUGGAUACCUAGGCAACAGGGCUGCUUUCAACUCUUGCAAAGUCGUAUUGUCACCAUCAAGGAUCCCUUCACUAACCUUAAGUACAUGGUCUACAUGUUCCAGUAUGAUUUGAUUCAUGGCAAGUUAAAUAGCACAGUCAAAGCUGAGAAAUGAGAAGCUUGUCAUCAGGAAAGCCCAUCUCCAUUUUCUAGAAGCGAGACCCUAUCAAACAGAGUGAUCCUGGUGCUGAAUAUGUUGUGUGGAGUCCACUGAUAUCUUUGCUACCAUGGAGAAGACCAGGGUUCAUUUGAAGUGUGGAGCUAAAAAGAUCAUUCUCCCUGCCCCUUCUGAGGAUGCCCCCAUGUUUGUGAUGGUGUGAAUCAUGAUAAAUUCAACAACUCCCACAAGACUGUCAGCAAUCAAGGUUGUCUUGCACUACCAACUACUUAGCCUCCUUGACCAAGUUCAUCCAUGACAACUUUGGCAUUGUGGAGGGACUUGUGACCACAGUCUAUGCUAUUACUGCCACCCACAGAACCAUGGACGGCCCUUCUGAGAAACUGUAUUGUGAUAGCUGUGGAGUUGCCAAGAUCACUAUUCCUUUGUCCACUGGUAUAGCCAAACCUAUGGAUAAGGUCAUUUCUGAACCUAAUGGGAAGCUCACAGGCCUAACCUUCUGUGUGCCCAUGUACAAUGUAUCUGUUAUGGAUCUGAGCUGCCAUCUGGAGAAAGCUGCUAAAUAUGAUGACAUUAAGAAGGUGGUGAAUCUGGCAUUAGAGGGCCCCCCCAAAGAACAUCUUGGGCUAUACCAAGGAGCAGGUUGUCUUCUGUGACAUCUAUGCUUCCACAUUCAGUGCUGGACCUUGCAUGGCUCUCAGUGACCACUUUGUCAAGCUCAUAUCCUCAGAUGACAUUGCAUUUGUCCACAGUGGCAGGAUGGCUAACCUUAUGGUCUAUCUCCAAGAAGUAAGAGCCCUGGACCACCAGCUUCAGCAAGAACAUGAAAGGAAGAGUCCUUCAGUUGCUGGGGCAUCCCUGUCCCAGUUCAGUCCCCCAACACACCAAGAAUCUCCCCACUUUGAUUGUCAUUCCAGACCCUCUGAAGACGGGAGGGGUUUCGGGAGCUGUAGUUUGUCACAUACCAUCAAUGAAAAUCUACUGCACCCAGCUGCCCCACCUCCUUCCAUUUUUUGUUUUUUACUUCUGGACACCUUCAAUCAGACAGGCAAGAUGUCUGAAGGAACAUGGAAAUAAAUAUAAUUUUUAUAUUGUGCUUCUAGAACAUUUUAGAUUAGGUCAUAAUUUUGGAAAACUUUGAGAUAUCUGACACCCAAGUAAUUGAAUUUCUCAUUAUUCAUUUUACUUCUUCUUUUUCUUUUAACAAUGAUUUCAAAGUAUGAUUAGUGUUCUGAUAAGUGGUUGGGAAACUUUUGGUUUGAUGUUAAAAAAUUUCAGUUAUGUGAUAAAUAACUUAAGAUCAUUUGGCUGGUGUAAUUAUGAAAUGGCAAGAUGGAUAAUUGUUGGAUACUUCAGUUUUAGCUUGUACUUUAAGAGCAGUUUUUAGAAUAGGCCACCCAUUAUUUGUUGCUUCCUGUUUGUCCGUGGAUAACUCAUUGCAAUAGAGACACCUCAGGCUUUAAGGGUUUGAACUAAGUGUUCUUUAUCAGUACUACUGUUUCAACUAAUCUCUUACCAAUUUUCUGACAGGGAUGUCUGUUCAGAUAUUAUUAAGGUCAGAUGAGAAAGAGCACAGAACAGUUCAUUUGUUGUUGAAAACUGAGCUCUAAAAAAUAUGGCAUUCUCUAACACGGUUUGCCAUUUCUCAGCAUUUAGACAGUUCUUAUUCCUUCUCAUUUCAAUGAAACAGCUGAUGGAAGGGAAUUUGUAAAAAUUUUGUGUCAGAAAUUGGUAGAUUGGAUCCGUAAGCCUUAAGUAAUGAUUUUCAUAGAUUCACAGGUUGGCAAAGUGGAUAGCAUCACACUCUUGUCUUUUGUAACUACUUUCAUUUUAUGUUGCUUUUUCUUUUUUCAUUUUUAAGUCUUUCCUCAUAUUGUUUUAAAAAAUUAAAAGUAUGUUUAGUUAUUGUUUAGUUUGCUUUCUGUUACUAUAACUGAAUGCCAUAGACUGGGUAAUUUGUAAAGAAAAGAAGUUUAUUAAGCUUAUGAUUCUGGAGGCUAAAAAUGUCCAGGCAUCUUGUGGGGACCUCCUUCCUGCAUCAUAACAUGGAAUAGAAUAUCACAUGAGACAAAGCAAGCAAACCAGGGAGAUGGCUUUUAUUAUUUAUUUUGGGUGCUGGGGAUCGAACCCAGGGCCUUGUGCUUACAAGGCAAGCACUCUACCGACUGAGCUAUCUCCCCAGCCCUGAGAGAUGGCUUUUAUAACAAAGCUACUCCUGAGAUAAGCUAUUAAUCUAUGAAUGAGUUGAUCCCAUUCACCUCCUAAUCAUCUCCCAAACGUCUCACCUUUCAAAUACCAUUAACAUAUGACUUUGUGAGUAUUAAGUUUCUAACACAUGAAAUCUGGGGGACACAUUUGAACCAUAAUAAUUUUAUAAGUAAUUCUUUCUGUAAAAGAAAAAAAAUCAGACAUUAUAAAUAAGGUCCAAGUCCCCUCUACCCACUCACAAUCCCUAGUGGUUUUUCCAGUGGUUUUCACAGUUGUUGACAGUUGAUGGGUCUUCUUCCAACUCUCUUUAGGCAUUCAUAUACAUGUAUAUAUGGUAUACUUACAUAGAUAUAUGUAUAUACAUAUGAAUAUACAGUUAAAAUGUGUCAUAUUGUCCUUGUUUCUAUUUUAGAUCUUUUCGUGAUCAGAAUAGCUAUUAGUUGGGUUUUUGCUACAGUUGGUUAAAUUUAUCUGUAGGCUUUUUCACAUUCCAGACUCCCUUUUCCUUAUCAGGUUCCCACACAUUUCUACGAUAACGCUUCACAUUUUCUUUUUAUUUUGGCCCCACAAUAUAGCCCAUUGUGAUAGCACACUUGUAACUCUCAAAUAGUUCAUCUUAUCACCAAAUAUGUUCUAAUCUCAGUUAGGAAAUUAGUGAUGAUUCAAACAAAAUUGGCUAGGAAAAAUGACGUUUUUUUUUUUUUUUUUCUAUUCCAUUCCCAGUUUGGUGACCAUCAUGACAGUGUUAAGCAGCAUGGAAUACCAGUUAGGAAUUUGAAUUUGUUUCGUUGUUUGUUAUUUCCGCAAUCUAACAGCGCUGGGGACUCGAGCUUGCGAGGCAGGCACUCUAUGUGAUGGGCUAUAUUGCCAGCACCAGUUAGGAAUUUUGGAAACAGAAGUUAUAUUUUUUCACCUUCUUCCCUUUCCUAGAGUCAAAGAGGGCUUUAUGACCUUGUGAGUCUCAAACUAUCUUGGUGGACUUAUACUCUGGGAUGAAAUCAUUGUUUCUUUGAAAUGGAAAUGAUAGAUCAGUUUGUCAACAAUAUUUGUCAGAGGCCACAUUACAGCCAGGUCUUUCAGGAGAUUUGUUCAAGUUAAGUGAAAGUUAGGUAUUUGUAAAUGACAUUAUAUUUUAAAUAGUGUAGGGGAGUAUCUAAUACAGGAAGUCUGGUUUCAGGAUAUCCACCUAAACCAUCAGAUUGUUGAAUUCUGAGUUUGCACGCUCUCUUACUGCUUUUUUUUGUCUGCUACCUUCUCCUGACUUUAUAUUGGCCUGGUUUUCCCCCUUUACCUGCUAGAGUUUCUGUUUGCUGCGAUUAUAGUUUGUGCUUUGUUUGUCUUACUGUGGUAGUGAUUCAAGUUCUCUCUCCAUGACCUGUGUGUUCUGAAACAUAACACAAAUAGGCUCUCUUUAUCUUUAUUCUAUCAAUCUUUAAUCUGUCAAUAAACUAGUCGGUCAUGGACAAUCCUGGUCCUAUCACAUGUGUCUUGUGGGUAGGGACUGACAUUACAUUGUAUAAUCAUGGCUGUCUGGGCUGAUUCAUUGGAUGAGAUUAAGGGAAAGGUGGUUUUCAGAGACAGAGGUUGUGGCUAGAGCAGGUACCCAGGGAUAUAUCUGCCAUCAGAAACAUUGAACUAUUUAGUGGAAAGUUCUUUGAUAGAUGUGGCAGAAUAGUUGAUUAUUUUCUUUUUUUCUGGAAUAAGAAUAACUACCUUUUCCCUUCUUUGCAUAUAAAUUAUGUGUUGUUACCAGCAGAGGCAUGAUGAGGGUAGAGUUGUUGGAAGCACAGACUGAUGUUAUCAAAAUUCCCUAUGGACCCAGGGCAGGAACAGGAGAGGAAACAGAUUUCUUUUUUUAAAGUUUAAUUAGGAAAUUUGCAACUUUUCUUAGGUUUCACAAUUUAAGUACCAAAAAUUCAUGGAUUUAAUUCUUGUUUUAGUAACUAUCAAAUACUUCAACAAACCCACCUGGUUCUACCUCAAAUAUAGGCUGAAUACGAUUGUGUCUCAUCAAAACCACUGACUAUGUUAUUUCUUCACUUAGAUCUUCCAAUGCCUAUCUAUACAAUUAGGCUAAUUCCUAACUUUUUAAUGGUACAAAAGAGUUUGCUUGAUCCAACCUCAGCCUAUCUCCCAGACUUUACCUCCUAUACUUUCAACUUAAUGUAAGAACUAAACAAUCAAAUUAUUAGAAAAAAAAAAAAUGGGAGUAAACCUUUGUGACUUUGGGUUAAACAGUAGUUC